rfam:Flavobacterium succinicans strain DD5b FLB_contig000046, whole genome shotgun sequence.
GCUUAGCCCCGAUGGGAGCGGCAUCCUUGCUAGGCGGGGUUCGCCUAGCAAGAUAUAGCGUACAGCGGGACGACUC